ACUUGCUUUCUUUGCUGGCGACCGGCGCACGGGUGAGUAACACGUAUCCAACCUGCCCUUUACUCGGGGAUAGCCUUUCGAAAGAAAGAUUAAUACCCGAUAGCAUAAUGAUUCCGCAUGGUUUCAUUAUUAAAGGGUUCCGGUAAAGGAUGGGGAUACGUUCCAUUAGGUUGUUGGUGAGGUAACGGCCCACCAAGCCUUCGAUGGAUAGGGGUUCUGAGAGGAAGGUCCCCCACAUUGGAACUGAGACACGGUCCAA
rnacentral:rRNA from 1 species